rnacentral:rRNA from 1 species
AGUGAACGCUGGCGGUAGGCCUAACACAUGCAAGUCGAACGGCAGCACAGUAAGAGCUUGCUCUUACGGGUGGCGAGUGGCGGACGGGUGAGGAAUACAUCGGAAUCUACUUUUUCGUGGGGGAUAACGUAGGGAAACUUACGCUAAUACCGCAUACGACCUACGGGUGAAAGCAGGGGAUCUUCGGACCUUGCGCGAUUGAAUGAGCCGAUGUCGGAUUAGCUAGUUGGCGGGGUAAAGGCCCACCAAGGCGACGAUCCGUAGCUGGUCUGAGAGGAUGAUCAGCCACACUGGAACUGAGACACGGUCUAGACUCCUACGGGAGGCAGCAGUGGGGAAUAUUGGACAAUGGGCGCAAGCCUGAUCCAGCCAUACCGCGUGGGUGAAGAAGGCCUUCGGGUUGUAAAGCCCUUUUGUUGGGAAAGAAAAGCAGCGGGUUAAUACCCCGCUGUUCUGACGGUACCCAAAGAAUAAGCACCGGCUAACUUCGUG